rnacentral:rRNA from 1 species
GACGAACGCUGGCGGCGUGCUUAACACAUGCAAGUCGAACGAAGUGGCGCACGGGUGAGUAACGCGUAAUCAACCUGCCCUUCAGAGGGGGACAACAGUUGGAAACGACUGCUAAUACCGCAUACUGAAGGAGGGGAUUGCGUCUGAUUAGCUCGUUGGGGGGGUAACGGCCCACCAAGGCGAUGAACAGUAGCCGGUCUGAGGGGUGGGACGGCCCCAUUGGGACUGAGACAAGGCCCAGACUCCUACGGGAGGCAGCAGUGGGGAAUCAUCCGCAAUGGACGGAAGGCUGACGGAGCAACGCCGCGGGAGUGAUGACGGCCUUCGGGUUGUAAAGCUCUGUUAAUCGGGACGCGGUACCGGAAUAGAAAGCCACGGCUAACUACGUGCCAGCAGCCGCGGUAAUUC